ACGGAGGAUGCAAGCGUUAUCCGGAUUUAUUGGGUUUAAAGGGUGCGUAGGCGGGAGAUUAAGUCAGUGGUGAAAUCCUGCAGCUUAACUGUAGAAUUGCCAUUGAUACUGAUUUCCUUGAGUGUAGUUGAGGUGGGCGGAAUGUGUAUUGUAGCGGUGAAAUGCAUAGAUAAUACACAGAACACCUAUUGCGAAGGCAGCUCACUAAACUAAUACUGACGCUGAGGCACGAAAGCGUGGGGAGCGAACAGGAUUAGAUACCCUGGUAGUCCACGCUGUAAACGUUGAUUACUCGAUGUGUGCGAUACACUGUACGCGUCUGAGCAAAAGCAUUAAGUAAUCCACCUGGGGAGUACGAUCGCAAGAUUGAAACUCAAAGGAAUUGACGGGGGCCCGCACAAGCGGAGGAACAUGUGGUUUAAUUCGAUGAUACGCGAGGAACCUUACCUGGGCUUAAAUGCAGAAUGACGUCCACCGAAAGGUGGAUUCCCUUCGGGGCAGACUGCAAGGUGCUGCAUGGUUGUCGUCAGCUCGUGCCGUGAGGUGUCGGGUUAAGUCCCAUAACGAGCGCAACCCCUAUUGUUAGUUGCCAGCGAGUAAUGUCGGGGACUCUAGCGAAACUGCCGGUGUAAACCGUGAGGAAGGUGGGGAUGACGUCAAAUCAGCACGGCCCUUAUGUCCAGGGCUACACACGUGUUACAAUGGCCGGUACAAAGGGCAGCUACCUGGCAACAGGUUGCAAAUCUCGAAAACCGGUCUUAGUUCGGAUCGGAGUCUGCAAUUCGACUUCGGAAGCUGGAUUCGCUA
rnacentral:rRNA from 1 species